rnacentral:rRNA from 1 species
GAGUAACGCGUAAGGAACUUGCCUCUUGGACUGGGACAACUGUUGGAAACGACAGCUAAUACCGGAUAUUAUGAGAUUCUCGCAUGAGAAACUUAUGAAAGCUAUAUGCGCCAAGAGAGAGCCUUGCGUUCCAUUAGCUAGUUGGUGGGGUAACGGCCCACCAAGGCGACGAUGGAUAGCCGGCCUGAGAGGGUGAACGGCCACAAGGGACUGAGACACGGCCCUUACUCCUACGGGAGGCAGCAGUGGGGAAUAUUGGACAAUGGGCCACAAGCCUGAUCCAGCAAUUCUGUGUGCACGAUGAAGGUCUUCGGAUUGUAAAGUGCUUUCAGUUGGGAAGAAGAAAGUGACGGUACCAACAGAAGAAGCGACGGCUAAAUACGUGCCAGCAGCCGCGGUAAUACGUAUGUCGCAAGCGUUAUCCGGAUUUAUUGGGCGUAAAGCGCGUCUAGGCGGAAAAAUAAGUCUGAUGUUAAAAUGCGGGGCUCAACUCCGUAUUGCGUUGGAAACUGUUUUUCUAGAGUACUGGAGAGGUGGGCGGAACUACAAGUGUAGAGGUGAAAUUCGUAGAUAUUUGUAGGAAUGCCGAUGGAGAAGUCAGCUCACUGGACAGAUACUGACGCUGA